rnacentral:rRNA from 1 species
UCAGCGUCAGUACCGGUCAGGAAAGCUGCCUUCGCCAUUGGUAUUCCUCAUGAUAUCUACGCAUUUCACCGCUACACUAUGAAUUCUACUCCCCUCUAUCGUACUCUAGUUAAUUAGUUCUGAAUGCAGUUCCUAGGUUGAGCCGAGGGAUUUCACACUCCAACUUAUACAAACCACCUACGCGCGCUUUACGCCCAGUAAUUCCGAUUAACGCUUGCACCCUCCGU